AGGAACAAAAAGCAACUGCGGUUGCUGGAGUAAUGGCGAAUGAAUGGGCAAGUGCGGGUUUCAUCCCAGCCCGAACGUGGCUUGUUGUGGUCAGAGUGUCUGCUUGCAGGCACAACCGACUGUUGUGAUCCAUCCCUUUGCUGUGGGCUGUGAGCCCCCCGGCUGUGCCCGGUCCUGGUUGCGCUGCACCAAGAAAGAGGUCCUUGGAAGGGGACACCAGAGAAAGAGACUGUCUUGUAUGCCCUAUCAGCGUGUGGCACCAGGCUGGGUGGGGCCUGGGGAACUCCGGAGUAGAGUUGCUUGAGACUGCAGUUUGAAGUGCAAUGUGUAUCCAUUGCAAGGAAAGGUAUCUGCCAUGGGAACCGAUAGAGCACAAGUACCUCGAAGGAAGGAUGCAAAGGACUCUGCAAAGAGGGUUCAAAGUCCCUGAAGCCUCGGCAGGGCAUACGGUGGUGAGUGGGGCUGUGGAAUCCAUGAUUCCUUGCCCAGAGAGUCUUCUUCUUGUGAUGGGAGCAAUCAGCAGAAAAAGGGAGCCAAACGGCACAAAAGCGCACUGCUGCUACUGGACUGGACUGGACCAUACCUCUGGAGACACAAGUUGUCAUGGAGCCAAAGCAGUGUUGAGUCAGCCCUGGACUGGCCAUUGAGCCCCACCACCGUUCCGGUGUGGGAUGGCCCUCUCGUGGCAGUCCCAGGUGGAAGCCAUGCUUGUCUGGACUUGAGACCAAAGCUACCGAUAGUCACUGGCAAAAGGAGCAAAGCAGCAGAGUCAUGAGCAACAACAACUGGAUUGGUCUGGUUGGCCAUUCCUGGAAGGAUGCAGGUGAAGUUUUCCUCUGGUGAGAGAAAAGAGAGGCUGGGGUCCAUCCUGGUGCCUUGCUGCACCAUUCUGCUGGUGGCUGCCCAGGUGGAGUGCCAAGUGCAAAGUCCACCCCAGUUCCUCCCUGACCAGGCUUGGUUGAGAGCAAAGCACAAUGUGUUUUUUUGGACUUGGCCAUCACAUCUCCGGAUGUGUGCAGUUUUCCAUUCACUGCCCGUCUUGAAACACGGACCAAGGAGUCUAUGGAGCGCGCCGAUUGGCAGGUCAUAUCUCUCCUCAGCAGUUGGCAAAACCCCAGGAUGGGGUGAAGGCAAAGCAGGCCCAGAUGCGGGACAAGCAUUCAGAGUCCCCGCUGCAUGGGCCACCGGAUUCAGAUCCCUUCAGGACAGAGUUUUGAGUGAGUGUGCGGUCCAUGGGACCCGAAAGGUGGUGAACUAUACCAUUCCAUGAUGAAGCCAUGGGAAACUGUGGUGGAAGUCAGCAGCUGUUCUGACGUGCAAAUUGUGUAGCCUGAGUGUGGCAUAGGGGUGAAAGGCCAAUCGAACCACCUAGUAGC
rnacentral:rRNA from 1 species